CAUUUGACAUGAAGGGGUAUGCCGUACCCGAGGGCACCAUUUGACAUACGAACAUUUCUUCAACAUAAAGGGGUAUGUCGUACCGGAGUACCAUUUGACAUACAACCAUUAACAUAGAGAUCAUGCCGUACCGGAGUACGAUUUGACAUACAAACAUUAACAUGAAUCGAAACUUAUAACUUAACACGAUUAAACACAUUGCACCUCUACCUGCCUUGAUUGAUGCUUUUGAAACUUUGAAAAUUUGGAUUGAAGUUUUCGAUGAAACUUGGACGUUGAAAGAAAUGCACUCCUUGGAUGUUUGAAAAUCGUUGGGAAUUGAUGCUUGAAAACACUUCUUAAAUUUCUUGGAAAAAUAGUUUUCCUCCCUCUCUUUUUCUCUCUUGGAAACUCUUUUUUUAGUAUGUAAAAGCUCUUGCUUUUGGUGUGAGAAAAAAUAAGUGAAACGAGGUCUCUAUUUAUAGGUAAAUAUCUCAUAACUUAAAGCAAAUGAAGGGUCAAAUUUCAUUUAAGAGAGAAAACAUGGGUGUUAUUUAAGUUUGAGAUUAAAUGCUUCAAUUUAGUGGGGUUUUUAUUGCCAAAAACGUGGGUGGCCCUUUGAG
rnacentral:lncRNA from 1 species